GCCCGGAUAGCUCAGGGGGAGAGCGCCGCCGUGACAGGGCGGAGGUCGCUGGUUCGAUACCAGCUCGGGGCAC
rnacentral:tRNA from 1 species